GAUGAACGCUGGCGGCGUGCCUAAUACAUGCAAGUCGAGCGAACAGAUGAGGAGCUUGCUCCUCUGACGUUAGCGGCGGACGGGUGAGUAACACGUGGAUAACCUACCUAUAAGACUGGGAUAACUUCGGGAAACCGGAGCUAAUACCGGAUAAUAUAUUGAACCGCAUGGUUCAAUAGUGAAAGACGGUUUUGCUGUCACUUAUAGAUGGAUCCGCGCCGCAUUAGCUAGUUGGUAAGGUAACGGCUUACCAAGGCAACGAUGCGUAGCCGACCUGAGAGGGGGAUAGGCCACACUGGAGCGGAGACACGGUCCAGACGCCUACGAGAGGCAGCAGUAGGGAAUCUUCCGCAAUGGGCGAAAGCCUGACGGAGCAACGCCGCAUGAGUGAUGAAGGUCUUCGGAUCGUAAAACUCUGUUAUUAGGGAAGAACAAAUGUGUAAGUAACUAUGCACGGCUUGACGGUACCUAAUCAGAAAGCCACGGCUAACUACGUG
rnacentral:rRNA from 1 species